CCCAUGCACGUAUUGCAAUAAUUUUUAUAAAAUUCAACAAACAAAUUAUUAACAUUUUAUUGUAAAUGAACUUUUUCACAUAUAUUUGAUACGUUUAUAUAUUUUUAUAAAAAUAAAAAAAACAAUUAAGUCGAAUGAAUGUGAGUGUAUUUUUAAAAAACUGUCAUGUUGAGGUUAGGUAGUUUUUAUUUCCUAUAUAUGUAAAUAUAUUAAAUUUAUAUUUUUUGCAUCAAAUAUUAUUGACUGUUUUAGUUAAAUUUUAUUGUUAAAAGAAGGAAAAUUAUUGCGCAUAAGUAAAAUAAAUCUAACCUCAAAAAAAAAAAAAAAAAAAACGCACAAUAUUUGACAAAUAUUUAUAUACCUUUAUAUGAAUUUGUUAUGAAUAAAUUGUGUAGUAUAAUAAAAAAUAUCCGUAAUGGAAGAAGAAAACGAAUUUGGAACGGACACUUGUUUAAUAACACCACGAAAAUUAGGCCCACAAAAUAUUGCAAUUCGUUUACGUAGAAGAGAAACAUUAGGAUGUUUAUAUCCAGGAACUCAAGUGUUGGUAGCACGACAAUUUUAUCAAAAUGUCUUUCCAAAUUUUACCGUUGUAAAUGUUGAGAAACCACCGUGUUUUUUAAGAAAAUUUAGUCCAGACGGAAGAUAUUUGGUUGCAUUUAGUUUAGAUCAAACGUCAAUUGAAAUUUAUGAAUAUCAAGGUGCAUCGGCUGCUGCUGAUCUUUUGGAUGGUUGUGAGGGCGAAUAUAUUGGACAAAAAAAUGAAGAGACUUUUCAUAUCAGAAGGGAUAUUUUCAAACGUUUUUUUAAGAUCAAAUGGAUUGUUAAUGUUGUACAAAGUAAUGAACAAUUGAAUAGAGAAUGUAGUUUAUUUACUGACGAUGAACGAUAUGUUAUUGUUGGUUCCGCUGCUCAUAUUCCAGACGAUCUUAGACCUCAUUUUUAUCAGAUUUACUCGAAUAACGAAGCACUCACGCCAAAUCCAAGAUCUCCACUUGAAGAUUAUAGUUUACAUCUCGUUGAUUUGCGUUGUGGUAAACUUUGUGAUACGCGACAUUUUAAAGUGGAUAAAAUUUAUUUGUCCCAUAAUCAAGGCCUUUAUCUUUAUAAAGAUAUUUUAGCAGUAUUAUCUGUUCAACAUCAAACGAUACACAUUUUUCAAUUAUUGGAUGGAAUGUUUAUAAAUGUGAGAACCAUUGGCAGGUUUUGUCUCGAGGAUGAAGCAUAUUUAGUCACAAGUGCCUGGCAUGGAAUUAAUUCCAGACCAUUUAGAGAUGCCACAAUCAAUAGUCUCAAACACAAACUUUUGGUUUAUCUUUAUAAACGAGCAGAUUACAUAAGUUACACCAAUCGUGAUCCUUAUGAAUUGAGACGAUUUUAUCAAUAUUUUGACGUGUACAAUGCAUUGAGAAUGUGGAAAAUGCAAUUAUUGGACACAAAUCACAUUCUUGUUAGAUAUGCAACUGAAGAUGUAGCAACAUUACAGGCAAGCGAGCCAAAUGCUCAACCAGCACUGCUAGUUGUUUAUAAUAUGGUAACUGCUAAAGUUUUAGCGGCUUACGAUAAUGCUUCCACUCAGCUGUUGACUCAAUUUGAAAAUUUUAGUGAUUUUUUCCGAAAUGCCCGAGUGAGUUCCGAUUGUCAAUUUAUGUGCUCGCCUUCAAAUAAUAUUUAUGCAAGAAUAAUGCAGCAGAGAUUUAAACAGACAAUUGUCAGUGCCAGAUAUGGGGGUAUAACGGAAGCAACAAAAAGAUUACUUGCUCAAUUGCCAAUUUGUGCACAAUCGUAUUCAAGUUCACCGUAUCUUGAUCUUUCAUUAUUUUCAUAUGAUGAUAAAUGGGUGUCAAUGAUGGAACGUCCAAAGGCUUGUGGCGAACAUCCCAUUCGAUUCUACGCACGUGAUUCUGGACUUUUAAAGUUUCGAAUGUACGCGGGAAUGUUGGGAAGAACACCGCCAGUUGUUGCAAGAAGAUUAGUGGCCUUCACUUUCCAUCCAACUGAUCCUUUUGCAAUUUCAGUCCAAAGAACCAAUGCAGAAUAUAUUGUCAGUUUUCACGUUCGACAUGUGUAAUUUAUUUUGAAACAGGAACAAUUUUUUUUUAUAAAAAUUUAAAUUAUGAACCGACGGAUCGUAGACGCUAUUUUCUGAAUUAAUCAUUAAAAAAUUAGGGAAAUAUUUCAUUUUUUUUUUUUUUUUUUUUUAAUGAUUAAUUUAAGAUUUAAUAUUUUUGAAGUAACAUUCUUGAAGUUUUCCUUCAUUUAAAGUUACGUGGGAAUUUUUUUAAAAAUAUUUUUAAAAAAUUAAAAAAGUUUUUUUUUUAUAAAUAAAUAAUUAAAAUUGUUUAAUUCGUUCAGAACCAGUGUUGCUUUCAUGACAAUUUUUUAUCUUAUACACAAGAUCCUUGAUUUUUUAAAACUGAAUAUUACAGCAAUAUUUUUUAUUUAGUUUAAUAAAUUUCCAAUUCCAAACUUGUUUUUAGAUUUUUUUCGCUGAAAAACUUGUUAAAACAUUAAAUGUGAUUUUUUAAGAAAAAAAUUUCCUCCUCAAAGGAUUAAAUUGAAAAAUUCAUUUUUAUCAGCAUAACAUUUUCUUGACACUUUGAAAUGUUAAAUCCUCCAAAUUUGAAGUGAUAUGUGUAAAAAAAAACUUGGAUUUAUUACGAGUUAAAGAAAAAUAAGAUUAGUAUUUUUUUUUAAAACAAAAAUGCUUUUUAUAUGUACUUUAAGAAAAAAUCAAAACAAAAGUUACUUUAACUUUAUAUUUUCUUUUCUCGAAAUAAAAAAACAAUUUAUAUUUUAAAAUUUGCAUAGGGCAAGUGUAAAUAAUUAAAUUUUUAAUAUUUUGAAGUUGUAUUUUAAUAAAAAUUACAAUUUCUAUUUAAUAGGAAGCGAAUUAGGUGCUUUUACGAUCCGUUGGUUUGAUUUUUUAUUUAAUAGUUAUAUAGAUUUGAAUAAUUGCGUUUAAAAUCGUCAAACCAAUGAAAGAAGAUUCGUUGCGCUUGCGCAAAAGGAAAAGAAAUGCUUUGUGGUUAGUUUGCACUCAUCCCAUGUUCUGCGCUAAGACUUUUUUUCUCCUCGUGGUUGACUGAAAAUUGUCAUUUCAUUUUUUAAUUAAAAUAAGUGUAAAUAAAUUUGUCAAUCAAUAAAUUAUUUUUCUUCAA